rnacentral:rRNA from 1 species
UACGGAGGGUGCAAGCGUUAUCCGGAUUCACUGGGUUUAAAGGGUGCGUAGGCGGGCAGGUAAGUCAGUGGUGAAAUCUUCGAGCUUAACUCGGAAACUGCCGUUGAUACUAUCUGUCUUGAAUUUUGUGGAGGUGAGCGGAAUAUGUCAUGUAGCGGUGAAAUGCUUAGAUAUGACAUAGAACACCGAUUGCGAAGGCAGCUCACUACACAACGAUUGACGCUGAGGCACGAAAGCGUGGGGAUCAAACAGGAUUAGAUACCCUGGUAGUCCACGCCCUAAACGAUGAUUACUCGACAUACGUGAUAAACUAUGUGUGUCUGAGCGAAAGCAUUAAGUAAUCCACCUGGGAAGUACGAUCGCAAGAUUGAA